UUUGGAGUUUUCGAGUUGCGAUUGCGUGAACGCGCGAGGCCUGUGGAAGGGGGCGGGCCAAGCUUGCUCCAUCCCUUUGUUCCAUGACGUGUUUCGUGAAAAUGUUGAUUUCAGAGCCCGCUGAGACCUGAGGACGUUAGGCUGGUACUAAGUUGAUGACAGCUCUUCUCAGAAAUGUCUUCUGUGCUGCUUCGGAGCUGGAGUUGAGGACUUCUUGAUUACCUCCCAUUUACCAGGAUUACAGCAAAUUAUAUUUAACUGUGACUGGCAUGCGAACUAUCUGACAUCGGACAUGGAUGAGGAAUACUGCUAUAUAAACCACAAUUUUAUUUAUUUAUUUGAGAGAGAGAAUGAGAGUACGAGAGAGAAGAGGGUCAGAG